AAUGAACGCUGGCGGCAGGCCUAACACAUGCAAGUCGAACGGAUCCUUCGGGAUUAGUGGCGGACGGGUGAGUAACGCGUGGGAACAUACCCUUUGGUACGGAAUAGCCUCGGGAAACUGGGAGUAAUACCGUAUGUGGUCGAGAGACGAAAGAUUUAUCGCCAAAGGAUUGGCCCGCGUUGGAUUAGGUAGUUGGUGGGGUAAUGGCCUACCAAGCCGACGAUCCAUAGCUGGUUUGAGAGGAUGAUCAGCCACACUGGGACUGAGACACGGCCCAGACUCCGACGGGAGGCAGCAGUGGGGAAUCUUAGACAAUGGGGGAAACCCUGAUCUAGCCAUGCCGCGUGAUCGAUGAAGGCCUUAGGGUUGUAAAGAUCUUUCAGGUGGGAAGAUAAUGACUGUACUACCAGAAGAAGCCCCGGCUAACUCCGUGCCAGCAGCCGCGGUAA
rnacentral:rRNA from 1 species